CCUCAUUUUCUCUCCCUCACAGCUGCAACCCCUUCCCUUCUCUCUUUCUCUCUUCUCUCAUCCUUCUCUUCCUCCAUAAACUUCGAACACGACUGCCGCCUCCGGAGCAGUACACCGGACAACUGUCGACCCUCCUCCCCCUCUCUUAUGCCGCCGUCGUUGCAGUCCAAUGUGAUAUGAACCAUCUGUUCACUCUUGAAACACUUGAUUGGUAUUCAAACAAACGUCUGAUAGAGGUCAGCAAAAAUAUGAAGAUGGAAAGCACAAAGAAAUGAAAUACUCGCUCGGGUGAAUUAGCCUAAGAUGAAACCUGAUUAUAGCUGGAUAUAUCAACGAAAUAUUAAUAAUAGAAUGGGUGAUGCUGAGAUUGAAGAUGCGGAUGAUGAGUUGUAGUUUUUGUAUUUUCUAUGUUUUAUAGUUUAGAUUUGGAACCUCGAUAAAUUUUGUAAAUAAUUUGAUUUUUAAUGUUUGUAUUCUUAUGGUGGUUGGUUGAUUGUAUAUUAAAUGAGUAGUGGGUUGUAUUAUAAAUAAUUUAAUUUGAUUUUUAAUGAUUGUAUAUGAUUGGUGGCCUGUAUUGUAAA